ensembl:lncRNA
GCAAUGAGAAGCCUGCACUGCAGCGAAAGGAAGCCCGCACUCGCUGCAACUAGGGAAAGCCAGCACACAGCAGCAAAGAGCCGGCACAGCAGAAAUGAAUGAAUGAAUGAAUGAGUAACAAACUAAGUUACUGGUGUUACAGAAGUUACAGUAGGCCUGAUGGUGAAGCUGAAACGCCAGUACUUUGGCCACCUCAUGGGAAGAGCUGACUCAUUUGAAAAGACCCUGAUGCUGGGAAAGACUGAAGGCAGGAGAAGAAGGGGACGACAGAGGAUGAGAUGGCUGGAUAACAUCACCAACUCAAUUGGGCAUGAGUUUGGGUAAACUCCAGGAGUUGGUGAUGGACAGGGAGGCCUGGCAUGCUGUGGUUCAUGGGGUCGCAAAGAGUCAAGACACGACUGAGCGACUGGAUUGAACUGAACAAAAUAAGAUUAAUAUAAAUCACGAGAGAUAAUUUGCAAAGAAGGCUAUUUAAAAUUGCGGCCGAGCAGUUCAUCCGUUACGAUAAUUCACUUUGGUGUAAAAUUCAAUUAUUACUGACAAAUAAAGGUGCUUCAUCUGUGCAAGCAAAUUUCAGUGUUUCCAUGUCAAGUCCAAACUUUUCAAAUGCCUCACUGGCUGAUUUGUCAGAGUCCUUUCCCUUGAUAUCUCCCUGACGGUCCUUUCAUGGAUUAGGAUCUGCAGUUGAAUUGACAGGAAGCAUAAAAUUAAUAAAAACCUUCUGGAAACCCCACCUCCCAAGACUCUUGACAUUGUGUUUGCUAAUAUCCUGUUGACCAAGCCAAGAGUCAGUGUGGGAGAGGAUCAAAC